GCGGAAGUGCUGGAAUAGGCAGACAGGCACGUUUGAGGUGCGUGUGAGUUUCUCGUGUGGGUUCAAGUCCCAUCUUCCGCACCA
rnacentral:tRNA from 1 species